GGUUAAGCGACUAAGCGUACACGGUGGAUGCCCUGGCAGUCAGAGGCGAUGAAGGGCGUGCUAAUCUGCGAUAAGCGCCGGUAAGGUGAUAUGAACCGUUAUAACCGGCGAUACCCGAAUGGGGAAACCCAGUGUGACUCGUCACACUAUCAUUAACUGAAUCCAUAGGUUAAUGAGGCGAACCGGGGGAACUGAAACAUCUAAGUACCCCGAGGAAAAGAAAUCAACCGAGAUUCCCCCAGUAGCGGCGAGCGAACGGGGAGGAGCCCAGAGCCUGAAUCAGCAUGUGUGUUAGUGGAAGCGUCUGGAAAGGCGCGCGAUACAGGGUGACAGCCCCGUACACAAAAGCGCAUGUGCUGUGAGCUCGAUGAGUAGGGCGGGACACGUGGUAUCCUGUCUGAAUAUGGGGGGACCAUCCUCCAAGGCUAAAUACUCCUGACUGACCGAUAGUGAACCAGUACCGUGAGGGAAAGGCGAAAAGAACCCCGGCGAGGGGAGUGAAAAAGAACCUGAAACCGUGUACGUACAAGCAGUGGGAGCACAGGUUUACCUGUGUGACUGCGUACCUUUUGUAUAAUGGGUCAGCGACUUAUAUUCUGUAGCAAGGUUAACCGAAUAGGGGAGCCGGAGGGAAACCGAGUCUUAACCGGGCGUUAAGUUGCAGGGUAUAGACCCGAAACCCGGUGAUCUAGCCAUGGGCAGGUUGAAGGUUGGGUAACACUAACUGGAGGACCGAACCGACUAAUGUUGAAAAAUUAGCGGAUGACCUGUGGCUGGGGGUGAAAGGCCAAUCAAACCGGGAGAUAGCUGGUUCUCCCCGAAAGCUAUUUAGGUAGCGCCUCGUGAAUUCAUCUCCGGGGGUAGAGCACUGUUUCGGCUAGGGGGCCAUCCCGGCUUACCAACCCGAUGCAAACUGCGAAUACCGGAGAAUGUUAUCACGGGAGACACACGGCGGGUGCUAACGUCCGUCGUGAAGAGGGAAACAACCCAGACCGCCAGCUAAGGUCCCAAAGUCAUGGUUAAGUGGGAAACGAUGUGGGAAGGCCCAGACAGCCAGGAUGUUGGCUUAGAAGCAGCCAUCAUUUAAAGAAAGCGUAAUAGCUCACUGGUCGAGUCGGCCUGCGCGGAAGAUGUAACGGGGCUAAACCAUGCACCGAAGCUGCGGCAGCGACGCUGAUGCGUUGUUGGGUAGGGGAGCGUUCUGUAAGCCUGUGAAGGUGGCCUGUGAGGGUUGCUGGAGGUAUCAGAAGUGCGAAUGCUGACAUAAGUAACGAUAAAGCGGGUGAAAAGCCCGCUCGCCGGAAGACCAAGGGUUCCUGUCCAACGUUAAUCGGGGCAGGGUGAGUCGACCCCUAAGGCGAGGCCGAAAGGCGUAGUCGAUGGGAAACGGGUUAAUAUUCCCGUACUUGGUGUUACUGCGAAGGGGGGACGGAGAAGGCUAUGUUGGCCGGGCGACGGUUGUCCCGGUUUAAGCGUGUAGGUGUGUGUUCCAGGUAAAUCCGGUUCACUUUAACACUGAGGCGUGACGACGAGGCACUACGGUGCUGAAGCAACAAAUGCCCUGCUUCCAGGAAAAGCCUCUAAGCAUCAGGUAACAUCAAAUCGUACCCCAAACCGACACAGGUGGUCAGGUAGAGAAUACCAAGGCGCUUGAGAGAACUCGGGUGAAGGAACUAGGCAAAAUGGUGCCGUAACUUCGGGAGAAGGCACGCUGACAUGUAGGUGAAGUGAUUUACUCACGGAGCUGAAGUCAGUCGAAGAUACCAGCUGGCUGCAACUGUUUAUUAAAAACACAGCACUGUGCAAACACGAAAGUGGACGUAUACGGUGUGACGCCUGCCCGGUGCCGGAAGGUUAAUUGAUGGGGUCAGCGCAAGCGAAGCUCCUGAUCGAAGCCCCGGUAAACGGCGGCCGUAACUAUAACGGUCCUAAGGUAGCGAAAUUCCUUGUCGGGUAAGUUCCGACCUGCACGAAUGGCGUAAUGAUGGCCAGGCUGUCUCCACCCGAGACUCAGUGAAAUUGAACUCGCUGUGAAGAUGCAGUGUACCCGCGGCAAGACGGAAAGACCCCGUGAACCUUUACUAUAGCUUGACACUGAACAUUGAGCCUUGAUGUGUAGGAUAGGUGGGAGGCUUUGAAGUGUGGACGCCAGUCUGCAUGGAGCCGACCUUGAAAUACCACCCUUUAAUGUUUGAUGUUCUAACGUGGACCCGUAAUCCGGGUUGCGGACAGUGUCUGGUGGGUAGUUUGACUGGGGCGGUCUCCUCCUAAAGAGUAACGGAGGAGCACGAAGGUUGGCUAAUCCUGGUCGGACAUCAGGAGGUUAGUGCAAUGGCAUAAGCCAGCUUGACUGCGAGCGUGACGGCGCGAGCAGGUGCGAAAGCAGGUCAUAGUGAUCCGGUGGUUCUGAAUGGAAGGGCCAUCGCUCAACGGAUAAAAGGUACUCCGGGGAUAACAGGCUGAUACCGCCCAAGAGUUCAUAUCGACGGCGGUGUUUGGCACCUCGAUGUCGGCUCAUCACAUCCUGGGGCUGAAGUAGGUCCCAAGGGUAUGGCUGUUCGCCAUUUAAAGUGGUACGCGAGCUGGGUUUAGAACGUCGUGAGACAGUUCGGUCCCUAUCUGCCGUGGGCGCUGGAGAACUGAGGGGGGCUGCUCCUAGUACGAGAGGACCGGAGUGGACGCAUCACUGGUGUUCGGGUUGUCAUGCCAAUGGCACUGCCCGGUAGCUAAAUGCGGAAGAGAUAAGUGCUGAAAGCAUCUAAGCACGAAACUUGCCCCGAGAUGAGUUCUCCCUGAGACUUAGAGUCUCCUGAAGGAACGUUGAAGACGACGACGUUGAUAGGCCGGGUGUGUAAGCGCAGCGAUGCGUUGAGCUAACCGGUACUAAUGAACCGUGAGGCUUAACCUU
rnacentral:rRNA from 1 species